rnacentral:sRNA from 3 species
ACGUGUUAUAAAAAUACGGUUUAUACACAUGGAAUUAUAGUUCUAUAUGAAAUAGGUUAUUUAUUAGAAGGAUUAAAUGGCUUAUUUUAUUUUUUAAUGUAUAAAAUUAUGUAUAUGGACACAAGUUGUGUUAUUUUGAACAUAAAUUUAAGUGAAUCAAUUCUUAAUGUAUUGAUUUUCGUCUAAAAUAGGUCGUUCAUGACAAGAAUCGGACAUUUCAUUACA